CAUUCCUUGGGUUUGAAAUUAACAAUGGAUGCUUGCUUGAUGGGCUUGGUCUUACUAUGAUCGUGAAUAUGAAGAAUCUGCUGGGAAUACAGUAAAAUCAUGGCUGAUGGCCUGAUGCAUGCUAGAACCUUAGAAGUGAAUCUACUCUUCUGACAUGCCUUGUCUUUCAAAGAGAGCUUGGAAAACUAAAGGUUCUACACUUGGGCUUGAAUGGCAUCACAGAUGCAUGUUUGGUGCACCUGAAAG
rnacentral:misc_RNA from 1 species